rnacentral:rRNA from 1 species
AAAUUGAAGAGUUUGAUCAUGGCUCAGAUUGAACGCUGGCGGCAGGCCUAACACAUGCAAGUCGAACGGUAACAGGAAUCAGCUUGCUGAUUCGCUGACGAGUGGCGGACGGGUGAGUAAUGUCUGGGAAACUGCCUGAUGGAGGGGGAUAACUACUGGAAACGGUAGCUAAUACCGCAUAACGUCGCAAGACCAAAGAGGGGGACCUUCGGGCCUCUUGCCAUCGGAUGUGCCCAGAUGGGAUUAGCUAGUAGGUGGGGUAAAGGCUCACCUAGGCGACGAUCCCUAGCUGGUCUGAGAGGAUGACCAGCCACACUGGAACUGAGACACGGUCCAGACUCCUACGGGAGGCAGCAGUGGGGAAUAUUGCACAAUGGGCGCAAGCCUGAUGCAGCCAUGCCGCGUGUAUGAAGAAGGCCUUCGGGUUGUAAAGUACUUUCAGCGGGGAGGAAGGGAGUAAAGUUAAUACCUUUGCUCAUUGACGUUACCCGCAGAAGAAGCACCGGCUAACUCCGUGCCAGCAGCCGCGGUAAUACGGAGGGUGCAAGCGUUAAUCGGAAUUACUGGGCGUAAAGCGCACGCAGGCGGUUUGUUAAGUCAGAUGUGAAAUCCCCGGGCUCAACCUGGGAACUGCAUCUGAUACUGGCAAGCUUGAGUCUCGUAGAGGGGGGUAGAAUUCCAGGUGUAGCGGUGAAAUGCGUAGAGAUCUGGAGGAAUACCGGUGGCGAAGGCGGCCCCCUGGACGAAGACUGACGCUCAGGUGCGAAAGCGUGGGGAGCAAACAGGAUUAGAUACCCUGGUAGUCCACGCCGUAAACGAUGUCGACUUGGAGGUUGUGCCCUUGAGGCGUGGCUUCCGGAGCUAACGCGUUAAGUCGACCGCCUGGGGAGUACGGCCGCAAGGUUAAAACUCAAAUGAAUUGACGGGGGCCCGCACAAGCGGUGGAGCAUGUGGUUUAAUUCGAUGCAACGCGAAGAACCUUACCUGGUCUUGACAUCCACAGAACUUUCCAGAGAUGGAUUGGUGCCUUCGGGAACUGUGAGACAGGUGCUGCAUGGCUGUCGUCAGCUCGUGUUGUGAAAUGUUGGGUUAAGUCCCGCAACGAGCGCAACCCUUAUCCUUUGUUGCCAGCGGUCCGGCCGGGAACUCAAAGGAGACUGCCAGUGAUAAACUGGAGGAAGGUGGGGAUGACGUCAAGUCAUCAUGGCCCUUACGACCAGGGCUACACACGUGCUACAAUGGCGCAUACAAAGAGAAGCGACCUCGCGAGAGCAAGCGGACCUCAUAAAGUGCGUCGUAGUCCGGAUUGGAGUCUGCAACUCGACUCCAUGAAGUCGGAAUCGCUAGUAAUCGUGGAUCAGAAUGCCACGGUGAAUACGUUCCCGGGCCUUGUACACACCGCCCGUCACACCAUGGGAGUGGGUUGCAAAAGAAGUAGGUAGCUUAACCUUCGGGAGGGCGCUUACCACUUUGUGAUUCAUGACUGGGGUGAAGUCGUAACAAGGUAACCGUAGGGGAACCUGCGGUUGGAUCACCUCCUUACCUUAAAGAA